AACGGACCAAACGUCUGGCCUCGGUUACGCUGGUGUAAAUCUGGAGUGGAUCCCCUGACUUCAGUGGCGUCACUCCGCAUUUACAUUGCUGUGACUGAGAGCACAACCCCCACCAAAGUC
rnacentral:precursor_RNA from 15 species